rnacentral:lncRNA from 1 species
GGCAGUUAGGAGCCUCGUGCUCUUGGCUCACUUCAUAGCCAUCUAGUUCUGUGGCCUACCAGUUCUCAUCCUUUGAAUUCUUAGGUUAGACGAGAAGAUACAUGAGAUCUCUAAAUCUUCAGGUUUAAACGUAGAUGUCUUUCACUACACCAGAGUAAAUAGCUUAUUCAAUAUUCAUUUUAUGAUCGUUAUUGGACUUCGGCUUCCUACUGCCUUUCAAAUAGGCCAUCGCAAGAUUUUGUCCAGUAGUAACGCCAGCAUUCAUCCUUUAAUGUUCGUGCCCGUCUCCUUAGUGCUUGAUAGAAAGGAUGCACUUCUUAUGUUAGCAAUGCUUGUGGAGCCUUUGUGGUCAUUCUCAGACAUGCACAGAGUGGGGAAAAACAUUGAGUCACCUGGAAUCCACGUUCAGCUGAGGUUGAACCAGGAGAAGAGAUCGAAAUAUUGAUACUUCUGCAGAAAUGUGUCAUUCAUAUUGAAAAACAUCUGGACAGAAUCACUUCUUUGGGAGUGAAAGCAGUUUGAAAACGCAAUCCUGGAAUCAGGGCACUACGGGUAACCACAUUCUCACUUUACAAAUGAUAACUCACACACCCCAUGGAAGAUCCGGGAAGUCUUCUGAUGCCCCUGCUUUCCAAGACAAUAUGAUGCUUCUCUACAUUCCAUGGACUAUGACAAGUAUAUCAGUCGUCGAAGUGGGUGGUUUAAUGGCAUGAUUAGCUCCAUUUUCUCUUCCUGCAGCAUAGCAAAGUGCAUAAAGCUUGAGCUCUGUGUCCAGCAGAUCUUUAUUAGAAUUCCAGUCCCCCCACAGUUACAUAUGCUCUCUCCCUGACAGUUUUCACAGAUGAAUCAUCCAGACUCCAUUUCCUAUUAGAGCUGGACCCUCCACUUGGACUUUUGACACUUAGACCCCUCUAGCCCACACAGGGACAUCAGUGCAAUAAUUCUCCCCUUUCUACAGCAUCAUUAAAUUUUGCCUCUCUCCUG